UACGUAGGGGGCUAGCGUUGUCCGGAAUCAUUGGGCGUAAAGCGCGCGUAGGCGGCCCGGUAAGUCCGCUGUGAAAGUCAAAGGCUCAACCUUUGAAUGUCAGCGGAUACUGCCGGGCUAGAGUCCGGAAGAGGUGAGUGGAAUUCCCAGUGUAGCGGUGAAAUGCGUAGAUAUUGGGAGGAACACCAGUGGCGAAGGCGGCUCACUGGACCGGAACUGACGCUGAGGCGCGAAAGCGUGGGGAGCAGACAGG
rnacentral:rRNA from 1 species